rnacentral:tRNA from 6 species
GGAGAGGUGCCGGAGUGGUCGAACGGGGCGGUCUCGAAAACCGUUGACCCUGCAAGGGGUCCCAGGGUUCGAAUCCCUGUCUCUCCGCCA